GACGAACGCUGGCGGCGUGCUUAACACAUGCAAGUCGAACGGAAAGGCCCUGCUUUUGUGGGGUGCUCGAGUGGCGAACGGGUGAGUAACACGUGAGUAACCUGCCCUUGACUUUGGGAUAACUUCAGGAAACUGGGGCUAAUACCGGAUAGGAGCUCCUGCUGCAUGGUGGGGGUUGGAAAGUUUCGGCGGUUGGGGAUGGACUCGCGGCUUAUCAGCUUGUUGGUGGGGUAGUGGCUUACCAAGGCUUUGACGGGUGGCCGGCCUGAGAGGGUGACCGGCCACAUUGGGACUGAGAUACGGCCCAGACUCCUACGGGAGGCAGCAGUGGGGAAUAUUGCACAAUGGGCGGAAGCCUGAUGCAGCAACGCCGCGUGCGGGAUGACGGCCUUCGGGUUGUAAGCCGCUUUCGCCUGUGACGAAGCGUGAGUGACGGUAAUGGGUAAAGAAGCACCGGCUAACUACGUG
rnacentral:rRNA from 1 species